UACCAGCACCCCGAGUGGUCGGGACGAUUAUUGGGCCUAAAGCAUCCGUAGCCGGUUUUACAAGUCCUCCGUUAAAUCCAACUGCUUAACAGAUGGGCUGCGGAGGAUACUAUAAGACUAGGAGGCAGGAGAGGCAAGCGGUACUCAGUGGGUAGGGGUAAAAUCCGUUGAUCCAUUGAAGACCACCAGUGGCGAAGGCGGCUUGCCAGAAUGCGCUCGACGGUGAGGGAUGAAAGCUGGGGAGCAAACCGG
rnacentral:rRNA from 1 species